ACGGGAGGCAGCAGUGGGGAAUAUUGCACGAUGGGGGAAACCCUGAUGCAGCGACGCCGCGUGAGUGAAGAAGUAUCUCGGUAUGUAAAGCUCUAUCAGCAGGGAAGAAAAUGACGGUACCUGACUAAGAAGCCCCGGCUAACUACGUGCCAGCAGCCGCGGUAAUACGUAGGGGGCAAGCGUUAUCCGGAUUUACUGGGUGUAAAGGGAGCGUAGACGGCGAUGCAAGUCUGAAGUGAAAGGCGGGGGCUCAACCCUUGGACUGCUUUGGAAACUGUAUUGCUAGAGUGCAGGAGAGGUAAGUGGAAUUCCUAGUGUAGCGGUGAAAUGCGUAGGUAUUAGGAGGAACACCAGUGGCGAAGGCGGCUUACUGGACUGUAACUGACGUUGAGGCUCGAAAGCGUGGGGAGCAAACAGGAUUAGAUACCCUGGUA
rnacentral:rRNA from 1 species